UCGAACAAAAGAAUCGUAUCUAAGAUCUGCGGACGGCAUAGUGUUAAUAGGGAAAUUAUUGACACUGAACCAGCGGAGCGCUAAAAGUGAUUAGCGCGCGUCGCUCUGUAACGAUGACAAGGCAGCAGAGCGUAGACAUGUCAUCGGCUUCAUUAGAAGAGGCUUUUCAAUUUCUGCAACUAUAAAACAAAGAACGUGAAAUCAUAGUGGAACCGACUGAGAAUGGGAACGCGUAGGAGAGUCGGAUCGAUUUGCUUGAAAUGGAAUGGGCUUUCCUGGAAAACUGUCUCUCUUGUAAUGCGGCCGAUUUUUCCGGAAUUUGCGGUACAAACGCGACAAUUAUUGACUCGGCCGCGCGCGGAAUAAUUACACGACAGGCCCCGCUGCAUCGAGGUUUCAGUCGUUGCCCGGGGCGUCAUUUGACGGCUGGCUGGUUUGCCGUGUUUAUGGAAUAUGAUUUGCGGCGGCCGCGGCCGAGGGAAUUAUGGCAUCUUGGGUUUCCAUAAUGCCGCGAUUCGCCGCUCGCGGAGACGCCUAAUCCAGGUCCGUGCGAGAAGAUCCUCUUAUCGCGAGGACACGUUCGCUCCGACCAGCGAAGACGAUUAUCUUCGGAAGUUCGGUGCGAGAAGGAGCACCGCCGCCACGCCGGCAGCCGGUCUUCCGUUUCUCUGACGACUUUUUCCUGUAGAAAAUUUCGCCUUCUAAUUAUUGCACGAUCUAAUCAGGCUUCGCCGUCUUAUCGGCUCGGCCCGCUCGGCGAUCACACGCUUCGCGCGUAAGCACUGAAUAACUUAACGCGUCAAGCGGCGAAAAUCAAGCUCGAAAGUUUUUCCACAAGCUCCGAGUAAUUUAAUCAAUGAAACGGAAAUUGGAUGGUCAAAAUUUUAUCACGGCGGACGGCGUUUUUUGCAUUCGGAAACGUCCUGGUGAAAUCAAGUUUCUUUGAAUAUAUUACGACGGAGGUGGAUUCUGCGACGCUCGACGCGUCGGCUGUUCGUCUGUAAUUAUUAUUAUUUAUUAUUUCCGGGAGGUGUUCCAGAAGCUGUUGCAUUAAUUUCGUUGUUUUACAUGCGAAAGGCUCGGAAGUCGAUCGAUGUGAAGUUCGUUGAUCUUAAAAUUCAGGUAAAUUAGGAUUUUGCUAAUUGACCGUGAGAUGAUGGCAAAGCUGCUAAUAAUUGUAAGAUGAUAAUAAUCUUAGAAUAAUCUUAAGCAGAAGAGAAACAAAAGAAAAAUGUCAAUGUAUUUUUCUGUUUAAAAUCGACUAUUUUGAUAAUAACCUUAAAAUAACAUUAACUAAAAGAGAGAAACAAAAGAAGAACGUCAAUAUAUUCUUCUUUUUAAAAUCGA